rnacentral:lncRNA from 1 species
GUGCAUUUCUUUCUAACACAAACGAUGCAAACGGCUAAGCGCGCACAUGUUUUGAUCAUUUGUUUCUAACAUACGUUUGCAAUGUUUACGUAAACUUUGACAAACUAUGCACUCGUUAGAAAUGCGUCUACAGUUUGUCGUUCAUCGUUUGUUAGUACAAACGCUACAUUUGUUUCUAACUUCAACCUGAUUAAACGAUGUAUUUGUUUCUACGUUUGUAAAAA